CCUACGGGAGGCAGCAGUGGGGAAUUUUGGACAAUGGGCGCAAGCCUGAUCCAGCAAUGCCGCGUGAGUGAAGAAGGCCUUCGGGUUGUAAAGCUCUUUUGUCAGGGAAGAAACGGUGUUUUCUAAUACAGAAUGCUAAUGACGGUACCUGAAGAAUAAGCACCGGCUAACUACGUGCCAGCAGCCGCGGUAAUACGUAGGGUGCAAGCGUUAAUCGGAAUUACUGGGCGUAAAGCGUGCGCAGGCGGUUUUGUAAGUCUGUCGUGAAAUCCCCGGGCUCAACCUGGGAAUGGCGAUGGAGACUGCAAGGCUAGAAUCUGGCAGAGGGGGGUAGAAUUCCACGUGUAGCAGUGAAAUGCGUAGAUAUGUGGAGGAACACCGAUGGCGAAGGCAGCCCCCUGGGCUAAGAUUGACGCUCAUGCACGAAAGCGUGGGGAGCAAACAGGAUUAGAUACCCUGGUAGUCCACGCCCUAAACGAUGUCUACUAGUUGUCGGGUCUUAAUUGACUUGGUAACGCAGCUAACGCGUGAAGUAGACCGCCUGGGGAGUCGGUCGCAAGNUUAAAACCGUUAAGGAAUUGACGGCUGAGAGNGCGAGACGACGACGAGGGAGGAGG
rnacentral:rRNA from 1 species